rnacentral:rRNA from 1 species
UACGGAGGAUGCGAGCGUUAUCCGGAUUUAUUGGGUUUAAAGGGUGCGUAGGCGGCCUGCCAAGUCAGCGGUAAAAUUGCGGGGCUCAACCCCGUACAGCCGUUGAAACUGCCGGGCUCGAGUGGGCGAGAAGUAUGCGGAAUGCGUGGUGUAGCGGUGAAAUGCAUAGAUAUCACGCAGAACCCCGAUUGCGAAGGCAGCAUACCGGCGCCCGACUGACGCUGAGGCACGAAAGUGCGGGGAUCAAAUAGG